rnacentral:lncRNA from 1 species
CAUCGUGGGCGGAAUCGUUGAUUCUGUUGAGGACUUCGGCUGGGGGUAUUUUAUACCCAACACAUUGCAAUAGGAUUCAAUUUGAUUGAGUGAUGGGGUUAGAAUCAAAUUUAAUUGAAUUAAAUUUAAUUUGAUUUGAUUUAGAUUUGAUUAGAUCAAAUCUUAUUGAUUAUGAGAUAAUCUUAUUAUCCAAAAAAUUAAUUCCUAGUUUGAUGGAGUUUAAUCUAACUAAUUUUCUAAUUAGAUUAGGAUCUAAUUAGAUUUC